AGUGAACGCUGGCGGUAGGCCUAACACAUGCAAGUCGAACGGCAGCACAGUAAGAGCUUGCUCUUACGGGUGGCGAGUGGCGGACGGGUGAGGAAUACAUCGGAAUCUACUUUUUCGUGGGGGAUAACGUAGGGAAACUUACGCUAAUACCGCAUACGACCUACGGGUGAAAGCAGGGGAUCUUCGGACCUUGCGCGAUUGAAUGAGCCGAUGUCGGAUUAGCUAGUUGGCGGGGUAAAGGCCCACCAAGGCGACGAUCCGUAGCUGGUCUGAGAGGAUGGUAGGCCACACUGGAGCUGAACCACGGUCCAGACUCCUACGGGAGGCAGCAGGGGGGAAUGUGGGGCAAUGGGCGCAAGCCUGACCCAGCCACACGGCGUGGGUGAAGAAGGCCUGGGGGUCGGAAGGCCCUUUUGUGGGGAAAAAAAAGCUGCAGAUUAAAACCCCGCGGUUUUGACGGUACCGAAUAAAAAAGCACCGGCUAACUACGUG
rnacentral:rRNA from 1 species